rnacentral:misc_RNA from 2 species
CGAUUCGAGGAAAUAUCUUUGCCGUAAGCCGAGUAGCGUUUUUGACGGAACGUUCGGAUAUGGUCGAGAUAUGGCCUUUUAAAAAUAUUGAGUAGCGUCAACUGCUUAAUAACCGGGUUCGAAUCCCGGCGUUUCGUACA